rnacentral:rRNA from 1 species
UACAGAGGUCCCGAGCGUUGUUCGGAUUCACUGGGCGUAAAGGGUGCGUAGGUGGCGAGGUAAGUCGGAUGUGAAAGCUCGGAGCUCAACUCCGAAAUGGCAUUGGAAACUACCUUGCUCGAGGGUUGGAGGGGGGACUGGAAUACUUGGUGUAGCAGUGAAAUGCGUAGAUAUCAAGUGGAACACCAGUGGCGAAGGCGAGUCCCUGGACAACUCCUGACACUGAGGCACAAAAGCUAGGGGAGCAAACAGG